GUUUAAUCUUUAAUUAAUUGGCUUAUGUAUUUGUGAUUCUAGAGGCCAAGGUUUUCCUAUUUAUGCUUAAGAGUUGAGAUCUUGAAGAAAUAUUAAGCAUGCUUGUGUUUUGGGUUUUGGGAUGGAGAUACGUACUAAAUGAUGCUUUGCAGAAAGAAUUUUGGUAGGGAACUUACUUAGAUGAUGAGAAAAAGCUUGAUGAAUGAACAAUAUGCAACUCUCCUCUCCUUGCUAGCUAGACUCUUGAAGCACUUUCCUCCAAACUUGAAUGUGUGGAAACAUGGAUUUUUGUGGGUGGAAUGGAUAAGUGUAUAUGAUGAAACUGAUGAGAGAUUGUGAUGGGAAAAAGGGUUGAUAGGGAUGUUCUAUUUAUAGUGAAUUUCUUACCGUGUGAUGUUGAAUGUGGCGACAAGAUACAUAAGGCUCCUCUCCUCUUAUUCUUCAUACUCAUCAUGGUGUUGGGGACUUUGUUCCUCUGAUUCUAAUUAACUCACUGUUGGAGCAUGCAUGGGGAGGAUUUAUUCAUGCAAGAUUUUGAAAAAGAUAAUGCAUGUGUGCUAUAUGGGCUAUGGCUAGCUGCAACGGGACGAGCAAUUUUGUUUAGGUUGCAUAAGAAAGAGAAGAUUAUGAUUGCAGCUUUGGAAAAAGGCAAAACACCAAUUUUAAGAGAACCGUUUAAUGCAGAACAGUUUUCAAAGUAGGUACGUAGAAAAAAUAAAGAAGGUUAUUACAGAUGUAAACAUUACGAUAGGAAGAAAAAAAAGGAAAAAAAAGUGUUGCUGAUGCAGCUGAAGCUAUUCAAGCACCGGGCCACCUGUAUAGGAGUCUGAGAACACUUCCCAAAAAAAGGAAAAAAAAAGAAGAAAAGAAAAAAGAAAAAAGAAAAAAAAUGGAAAAAAUGAAAAAAAGAAAAAAAGGAAAGAAAGAAAAAAAGAAGGAAAAAAAAGAAGGUAGGGACGAUUACUCAACUAUGCCUGUGGAGCAUGAAGAUGUUGAGCCAAGAGAAAUGACUUUGGAAGACAUUGAGAACAGAUUAGGAUAAAGACGAUUACUCAACUAAAAUGUGCGGUGUAGAAAGAACGGUUAAAAGGUAUCCAAAAAUUUGAGAAUAUACAAGGUUCCGCUUUUGCUAUUAUUAGCGAAUGAUUGAAGUAAUAUGGAGCUUUUCAAGAAUGCUUCAAAUGGUGUGAGAGGAAAGAGGCUGUCGCUGAACUAACAGAACUUGCACCCACCAAAAAGAUUACUCCUGCAGAUUUUUCAGAAGUUUGUCGAACAAUAAAGAAGGUUAUCACAGAUGUAAACAUUACGAUAGGAAGAAGGAAAAAAAAUAGUUUCUGUUGCAGAAAAGGGCAACCUUUUUAGGGGUCUGAGAACACUUCUCAAAAAAAAGGAAAAAAGGAAAAAAAGAAAAGAAAAGAAAAAAAAGGAAAAAAGAAAAAAAAGUAGAGAUGAUUACUCAACUGUGCCUGUGGAGCUUGAAGAUGUUGAGCCAGGAAAAAUGAGUUUGGAAGAGAUUGAGAGCAGAUUAGGAUCCCUUAUUCAAACGGAGACGAUUACUCAACUAAAAUGUGCUGUGUGGAUAGAGCAGCUUAAAGCUACUGUGUCUUUUAAAGAGCAGCUGAAGCAUGCAUUAAUCAAAUAUUGAGGGUUUGUUUACAAGAAACUGUAUCCAAAAAUUUGAGAGAUUUACAAGGUUCCGGUUUUGCUAUUAUUAGCGAAUGAGUGAAGCAAUAUGGAGCUUUUCAACGUUAAUAUGCUACUUUCCAUUAUAACCCAUUCAUCUUAUAAUUAAAAAUAGAUAAGAAAGGUUCAAAUGGUGUGAGAGGAAAGAAGCUGUCGCUGAACUAACAAAGCUUGCAUCCACCAAAAAGAUUACUCCUUGAGAUUUUUCAGAAGUUUGUCGAACAAUUAAGAAGAACAUUACGAUAGGAAGAAAAAAAAGGAAAAAAAAGAGUUGCUGUUGCAGCUGAAGCUAUUCAAGCUCUGGCAACCUGUAUAGGAGUCUGAGAACACUUCACAACAAAAGGAAAAAAGUGAAGAAAAGAAAAUGGAAAAAAGGAAAAAAAAAUAAAAAAGGAAAAAAAAGGAGAAAAAAGAAAAAAGGAGAGACUAUUACUCAACUAUGCCUGUGGAGCUUGAUGAUGUUGAGCUAAAAGAAAUGAGUUUGGAAGAAAUUGAGAGCAGAUUAGGAUCCCUUAUUCAAGUAGUGACAUUACUCAACUAAAAUCUGAUGUAUGGAAAGAGCGGCCUAAAGGUAUCCUAAAAUUUACGAGAUUUACAAGGUUCCGCUUUUGCUAUUAUUAGCGAAUGAGUAAAGCAAUAUGGAGCUUUUCAAGAAAGGUUCAAAUGGUGUAAGAGGAAAGAGGUUGUCGCUGAAUUAACAGAGCGUGCAUCCACCAAAAAGAUUACUCGUGGAGAUUUUUCAGAAAUAUGUCGAACAAUUAUGAAGGUUAUAUCACAGAUGUAAACAUUACGAUAGGAAGAAAAAAAAAGGAAAAAAAGCAUUGCUGUUGCAGCUGAAGCUAUUCAAGCUCUGGGCAACCUGUAUAGGAGUCUAAGAACACUUCCCAAAAAAAGGAAAAAAAGGAAAAAAGAGAAGAAAAGAAAAAAAGGAAAAAAUAGAAAAAAAAGAAAAAAGAAAAAAGAAAAAAGGAAAAAAAGGAGAAAAAAAGGAGAGACUAUUACUCAACUAUGCCUGUGGAGCUUGAAGAUAUUAAGCCAAGAGAAUUGAGAGCAGAUUAGGAUCCCUUAUUCAAGUAGAGACAUUACUCAACUAAAAUCUGACGCGUGGAAAGAGCAGCUUAAAGGUAUCCAAAAAUUUACGAGAUUUUCAAGGUUCCACUUUUGCUAUUAUUAGCGAAUGAGUAAUGCAAUAUGGAGCUUUUCAAGAAAGGUUCAAAUGGUGUAAGAGGAAAGAGGUUGUCGCUGAAAUAACAGAGCGUGCAUCCACCAAAAAGAUUACUUGUGGAGAUUUUUCAGAAAUUUGUCGAACAAUUAUGAAGGUUAUAUGACAGAUGUAAACAUUACGAUAGGAAGGAAAAAAAGGAAAAAAAGCAUUGCUGUUGCAGCUGAAGCUAUUCAAGCUCUGGGCAACCUGUAUAGGAGUCUAAGAACACUUCCCAAAAAAAGGAAAAAAAGGAAAAAAAGAGAAGAAAAGAAAAAAGGAAAAAAGAGAAGAAAAGAAAAAAAGGAAAAAGAAAAAAGGGAAAAAAAGGAGAAAAAAGGAGAGACUAUUACUCAACUAUGCCUGUGGAGCUUGAAGAUGUUGAGCCAAGAGAAAUGAGUUUGGAAGAAAUUGAGAGCAGAUUAGGAUCCCUUGUUCAAGUAGAGACAUUACUCAACUAAAAUCUGAUGUGUGGAAAGAGCAGCUUAAAGGUAUCCAAAAAUUUACGAGAUUUACAAGGUUCCACUUUUGCUAUUAUUAGCGAAUGAGUAAUGCAAUAUGGAGCUUUUCAAGAAAGGUUCAAAUGGUAUAAGAGGAAAGAGGUUGUCGCUGAAAUAACAGAGCGUGCAUCCACCAAAAAGAUUACUUGUGGAGAUUUUUCAGAAAUUUGUCGAACAAUUAUGAAGGUUAUAUCACAGAUGUAAACAUUACGAUAGGAAGGAAAAAAAGGAAAAAAAGCAUUGCUGUUGCAGCUGAAGCUAUUCAAGCUCUGGGCAACCUGUAUAGGAGUCUAAGAACACUUCCCAAAAAAAGGAAAAAAAGGAAAAAAAGAGAAGAAAAGAAAAAAGGAAAAAAGAGAAGAAAAGAAAAAAAGGACAAAGAAAAAAGGAAAAAAAGGAGAAAAAAGGAGAGACUAUUACUCAACUAUGCCUGUGGAGCUUGAAGAUGUUGAGCCAAGAGAAAUGAGUUUGGAAGAAAUUGAGAGCAGAUUAGGAUCCCUUGUUCAAGUAGAGACAUUACUCAACUAAAAUCUGAUGUGUGGAAAGAGCAGCUUAAAGGUAUCCAAAAAGUUACGAGAUUUACAAGGUUCCGCUUUUGCUAUUAUUAGCGAAUGAGUAAUGCAAUAUGGAGCUUUUCAAGAAAGGUUCAAAUGGUGUAAGAGGAAAGAGGUUUUCGCUGAAAUAACAGAGCGUGCAUCCACCAAAAAGAUUACUCGUGGAGAUUUUUCAGAAAUUUGUCGAACAAUUAUGAAGGUUAUAUCACAGAUGUAAACAUUACGAUAGGAAGGAAAAAAAGGAAAAAAAAGCAUUGCUGUUGCAGCUGAAGCUAUUCAAGCUCUGGGCAACCUGUAUAGGAGUCUAAGAACACUUCCCAUAAAAAGGAAAAAAAGAGAAGAAAAGAAAAAAAGGAAAAAAGAGAAGAAAAGAAAAAAAGGAAAAAGAAAAAAGGGAAAAAAAGAGAAAAAAAGGAGAGACUAUUACUCAACUAUGCCUGUGGAGCUUGAAGAUGUUGAGCCAAGAGAAAUGAGUUUGGAAGAAAUUGAGAGCAGAUUAGGAUCCCUUAUUCAAGUAGAGACAUUACUCAACUAAAAUCUGAUGUGUGGAAAGAGCAGCUUAAGGUAUCCAAAAAUUUACGAGAUUUACAAGGUUCCGCUUUUGCUAUUAUUAAAGCAAUAUGGAGCUUUUCAAGAAAGGUUCAAAUGUGUAAGAGGACAGAGGUUGUCGCUGAAAUAACUGAGCGUGCAUCCACCAAAAAGAUUACUCGUGGAGAUUUUUCAUUUUUCAGAAAUUUCUCGAACAAUUAUGAAGGUUAUAUCACAGAUGUAAACAUUACGAUAGGAAGGAAAAAAAGGAAAAAAAACAUUGCUGUUGCAGCUGAAGCAAUUCAAGCUCUGGGCAACCUGUAUAGGAGUCUAAGAACACUUCCCAAAAAAAGGAAAAAAAAGGAAAAAAGAGAAGAAAAGAAAAAAAGGAAAAAAGAGAAGAAAAGAAAAAAAAGGAAAAAAUGGAAGAAAAAAGAAAAAAGAAAAAAAGGAAAAAAAGGAGAAAAAAGGAGAGACUAUUACUCAACUAUGCCUGUGGAGCUUGAAGAUGUUGAGCCAAGAGAAAUGAGUUUGGAAGAAAUUGAGAGCAGAUUAGGAUCCCUUAUUCAAGUAGAGACAUUACUCAACUAAAAUCUGAUGUGUUGAAAGAGCAGCUUAAAGUUAUCCAAAAAUUUGAGAGAUUACAAGGUUCCGCUUUUGCUAUUAUUAGCGAAUGAGUGAAGCAAUAUGGAACUUUUCAAGAAAAAGUUCAAAUUGUGUGAGAGGAAAGAGAUUGUCGCUGAACUAACAGAGCGUGCAUCCACCAAAAAGAUUACUUCUGGAGAUUUUUCAGAAUUUUGUCGAACAAUUAAGAAGGUUACUAUAAGAAACCUUUGUAGGGGUCUGAGAACAAGUCCCAAGAGAAAGGACAAAAAAGGGAAAAAAAGAAAAAUAGGAAAAAAAGGAAAAAUGGGAAAAAAGAAAAAAAGGAAAAAUAAAAGAAAAAAGAAGUACGAUUACUCAACUAAGCCUGUCGAGCAUGAAGAUGUUGAGCCAAGAGAAAGCAGUUUGGAAGAGAUCGAGAGCAGAUUAGGAAUUCAAGUAGAGACGCUUACUCAACUAACAGAACUUGCAUCCUCCAAAAAGAUUGCUCUUGGAGAUUCUUCAGAAGUUUGUCGAACAAUAAAGAAGCUGUAGCUAUUCAAGCACUGGGCAACCUUUAUAGGGGUCUGAGAACACUUCCCAAGGAGGACAAAAAAGGAAAAGAAAACAAAAAUAAAAAGGAAAAAAAAGAAAAAAGGGGAAAAACUUGAGAGAUAUACAAGGUUCUGCUUUAGCUAUUAUUAGCAAUUAGCGAAUAGCGAAUGAUUAAAGCCAUAUGGUGCUUUUGAAGGUUCAAAUGGUGUGAGAGGAAAGAGGUUGUCGCUGAACUAACAGAACUUGCAUCCACCAAAAAGAUUACUCCUCUAGAUUUUUCAGAAGUUUGUCGAACAAUAAAGAAGGUUACAGAUGUAAACAUUACGAUAGGAAGAAAAAAAGGAAAAAAAAAGCGCUGUUGCAGCUGAAGCUAUUCAAGCUCUGGACAACCCUAUAGAAGUCUGAGAACACUCCCAAAAAAAGAAGAUAAACAGGAAAAAAAAGAAAAGAAAAAAAGGGGAAAAAGGAAAAAAAUGGAAAAAAAGAAAAAAGGAAUAAAAAAGGAAAAAUAGAGAAAAAAGUAGAGAUUAUCAUUCAACUAUACCUGUGGAGCUUGAACGAACUGUUGAGCCAAGAGAAAUGAGUUUGGAAGAGAUUGAGAGUAGAUUAGGAUCUCUUAUUCAAGUAGAGACGAUUACUCAACUAAAAUGUGCGGUGUGGAAAGAGCGGCUUAAAGGGUACUUGAAUUUCUUCAAGAGCUUCUGGAUCUAUUGAGAAAUGAGGGGCUACACUAUCAGAAGCAGAGGCAACCAUCUUUCUUCCUUACUUGGUUGAGAAGUCUGGACAUAACAUUAAAAAGUUCGAGAAAAAAUGCGUGAACUGAUGAAACAAGUCAUCCAAACAUAUUCUGCUGCAACGACUAUUCCUUACAUUUUACAGGGUUUGCGUUCUAGGAACAACAGAACGAGGACCGAGUCCGCUGACCAUGUUGGAGUCUUAUUAGAUAACUAUGGAGCUGAGAGGAUUAUGGAAUUGGAAUACAUCAUUCGCCGUAAGGAUAAUCAACAUACUCAUGCUUAGUGGAAAGAAGCCUAUUGCUGCAGAGCCAGCUGCCACUAAGAAAGCCACAUCUGGAAAAUCUGGUACCAACAAAAAGGGUGAUGGAGGAUGACAAACAAUAAAAAUUUCUAAACCUAUGGAGCGUGAAGAUGUCGAGCCAACAGAAAUGAGUUUAUAGAGUUUUAGAGCAGAUUAGGAUCCUUUAUCCAAGCAGAGACAAUUACCCAACUAAAAGGUGUUGUGUGGAAAGAGCGGCUUGAAGGUACUUGAAAUUAUUCCCGAACUUCUGGAUAUGUUGAGAAAUGAGGGCUACACUAUGACGGAAGUAGAGGAAACCAUCUUUCUUCCUCGCUUGGUUGAGAAGGUGAUGAUAUUUGGAUAUAUGUCAGGAUGCUUACCGAGGCACAAUUAAGUCUAAUCCAUCUGAACAAAGUGGGGGCUUAUCAAGACCCGUUGGCAUCCCAACAUUCAAUCGUUAUAGACUACCAAUGCCGCAGGCUUAGUCUGCUGUUGGGCUAAAAUCCAUAGAAUAUGGUUCUUCUGAACAGGGUAGGGGGUAAAGAUGAAUAUUUUUCAAUGGAAUGCUUUUUCAGAAGAUUAGGCUGAUGAAGGCAUGAAAGGUGUGCUAUGAAUUGUCACAAGCAACUGCUGAUCCCACGAGUCGCACAAUGGGCUGUUAAAAUAUAUCACCGUUUCUUCAUUCUAGUUUAUCAUACCGAGCUACUCCACCUAAAAAUCUCUGUGCCAUUAAUGAAAAUAUAAUAAUAAUUAUAAUAUUUUUAUUAUUAUUAUAAUGUAUGAUUCAGAUUUCAAAAUAAUAUAAUAAUAUCAAUAAUAAUAAUUAUAGUUAUUAUUAGUAUAUGAAUGUAGUAGAAUAUAAUUCACAAUUUCAAAUUUUCUUAAUUAGUUAUUACGUACUAAAUUAAAACAAAAACAUAAAAUAAUAAUAAUUAUUAUUAUGACGAUUUUAUAUUUUGAUUAUUGAACCAAGACAUAUUAUAUAAUUGCUUAUGACAUUAUGCUUUCUUUAUUGUUUUAAUAACCGAUACUCUGUAUAUUUGAAGGUUAGGGUUCAAAUUACUGCAUGACCUUAUUUAUGACAGUUGUAUAUUUAGGUCAUAUUUAUGUGUGUUCAUUGUACUCCCCCCUUCCCACCCAAGUUUGUCCCACUUAAGAUGUCCCAACUAUCUUGCCUCUCACUACUUUAUUACACUAAAUAAUUUUUUCUAAAACUCCGUGCCACCGACAUCUUGAGUGGGACGGAGGUAGUAUCCCACUUUCUUGGGUGUAAAUCUGUCCCUAAUUCAUAUGAUUUGCAGCUUACUGAAAAAAAUGAUUCCGUGUUUGGUCUCAACUGAGAUUUUGGACACAAUAUCAUAGAAAUUUAUUAAGAAUUGAAACAGUUGUUGUCUAGCUCUGAUGCUUAGCAUUCUUGGGACCAAUGCAUCUGUUUUGUAAGUCACUUGGUGUAUUUUGAUCAUUUCAUAGAUGACCAUUUUUCAAUAUAAUUUAGCAUUCUUAUGUUUUUCUUGUGGAAAUAUUUUCUGGUUAGUUAAUAUGCUCCCGUUGAAGAAAUUGUUAGUUUUUCUGUGUGGUUUCCUCGUCUACCUAAAUAUUUUAUAGAUUUAGCAACUUUAGUAUAUGGUAUAGUCAUGUCUUAGCUAUUCUUUCUCCAAUAUUUACAAGUUUAUGGUGUCAAGAAUCUGCUUGUUUAAAUAUUUGUAUUGCUUUUAAGAUAAACCUUUAUCCAUUCCUUUGCCAUUGUUUAACUUUGAUAAAUUUAUCAUGGAUAUUUGAACUGAAAUCGUAUAUAAGGUGUAGAUUAAUCUGCAUAUCAUGUAAUUUUCUUGAUAUUCUCUUUCCUUCAUAUGGUGAAUAUUUAUAUACAAUCUUUAUUUAUUGGUCUUUUUUAAAAAUGCUAGAUAAUACUAUUAUAUACAUGUUGUCUUUGGUUCUUUGAUGUUAGAGUAUUGCGCUUACUGAGAUGCUUUUGUAUGAAUUGCAUUGACAAAUGAGGCCGCCUAUUCAAAAUUUUUAUGUUGCUACUAAUAAAAUCAUAUUUGUACUACAAUUUUUAAUUUAUGAAUUUUUUGUUUUAGCUUUUGUGUCUUUUUAAGAGCAGGUUGAAUCACAAACAGAUUUUGAUCCAUAUGAUGAGAAAAAUGUUUAGGUCCUGCAACAACAUCAAAGUUUCCUAAAGAGUGUGUUGUGCUUUGCCUUUCAGGUAUCACUCAAAGAGGAGCUGACAUAAAGACUCGUGCUGAGGCCAUGAAGUGUCACAUCAGAACAUUUAAACCCCUCAAAAGUUGUCUUAGUUAUUUUUUAUUUUUUGCAUUUUUGUUUAUCGUGUGUGUAUAAUGUGUGUAGUAU